AGCCACACCCAGAUCUGGUUAUAUAAGUAGAACUUGGCAGACAACAUGAAGUAGGCUAAGAGAUCUCCAAAAGACGAAAGGAGAAAAUUAUCAAGGUCUACCAAUGUGGAAAGGUUUACAAUGCCAUUUGUAAUUAUAGACACUUGCUACUUAUAAUAGUGUAAUUUUAUCCAUACUUUUUUAUCUUAUUAAUGGCACAUAGAGAAACCUGUAAAUAAUCCAAGGUCUAUUUAUACCAACAGAUAUUAAAGGAGCUGUGGAAGACCAACUUUACUCUUCUAAACCAGAGUGUUCAGUUUGAUGAGAAUGGUGACCCCUCCUUUGGAUCAUAUGCAAUAGUUUUCUGGAACAAAAGUGGAGAAGCAGAGGAGGUUGGCCUUUAUAGUUAUCACUCGUCUUUACAGUUCUUCAUCAACAGGACCAAAAUUCAGUGGCAUGGAAAUGGUUCGGUGCCGAGGUCCAUUUGCUCCGAAGAAUGUGAUGCUGGAUUUGCAAAAGAACAAAAAGGACUCAACAAAUGCUGCUUCAGCUGUACAAAAUGCGAAAGUGGAACUUAUAUCAACAGCACAGCAGAUCCUUACAAAUGCCACAAAUGUGA